AUUGAACGCUGGCGGCAGGCCUAACAAAUGCAAGUCGAACGAGUGGCGGACGGGUGAGUAAUGUCUGGGAAACUGCCUGAUGGAGGGUGAUAACUCCUUGACACGGUAGCUAAUACCGCAUCCCAUCGGAUGUGCCCAGAUGGGAUUAGCUCGUAGGUGGGGUAAAGGCUCACCUAGGCGACGCUCCCUCGCUGGUAUGAGAGGAUGACCAGCCACACUGGAACUGAGACACGUUCCAGACUCCUACGGGAGGCAGCAGUGGGGAAUAUUGCACAAGGGGCGCAAGCCUGAUGCAGCCAUGCCGCGGGUAGGAAGAAGGCAGUCGGGGUGUAAAGUACUUUCAGCGGGGAGGCGUUACCCGCAGAAGAAGCACCGGCUAACUCCGUGCCAGCAGCCGCGGUAAUAC
rnacentral:rRNA from 1 species